rnacentral:rRNA from 1 species
GACGAACGCUGGCGGCGUGCUUAACACAUGCAAGUCGAACGGAAAGGCCCUGCUUUUGUGGGGUGCUCGAGUGGCGAACGGGUGAGUAACACGUGAGUAACCUGCCCUUGACUUUGGGAUAACUUCAGGAAACUGGGGCUAAUACCGGAUAGGAGCUCCUGCUGCAUGGUGGGGGUUGGAAAGUUUCGGCGGUUGGGGAUGGACUCGCGGCUUAUCAGCUUGUUGGUGGGGUAGUGGCUUACCAAGGCUUUGACGGGUAGCCGGCCUGAGAGGGUGACCGGCCACAUUGGGACUGAGAUACGGCCCAGACGCCUACGGGAGGCAGCAGUGGGGAAUAUUGCACAAUGGGCGGAAGCCUGAUGCAGCAACGCCGCGUGCGGGAUGACGGCCUUCGGGUUGUAAACCGCUUUCGCCUGUGACGAAGCGUGAGUGACGGGAAUGGGUAAAGAAGCACCGGCUAACUACGUGC